rnacentral:rRNA from 1 species
CCUACGGGAGGCAGCAGUGGGGAAUAUUGGGCAAUGGAGGAAACUCUGACCCAGCGACGCCGCGUGCGGGAUGAAGGUCUUCGGAUUGUAAACCUCUUUCAGUAGGGAAGAAGCGAAAGUGACGGUACCUAAAGAAGAAGCACCGGCUAACUAUGUGCCAGCAGCCGCGGUAAUACAUGGGGUGCAAGCGUUGUCCGGAAUUAUUGGGCGUAAAGAGCUCGUAGGUCGUUUGUCGCGUCGAUUGUGAAAAUCUGAGGCUCAACCUCAGACCUGCAGUCGAUACGGGCAAACUAGAGUGUGGUAGGGGAGACUGGAAUUCCUGGUGUAGCGGUGGAAUGCGCAGAUAUCAGGAGGAACACCAAUGGCGAAGGCAGGUCUCUGGGCCAUAACUGACACUGAGGAGCGAAAGUGCGGGGAGCGAACAGGAUUAGAUACCCUGGUAGUCCGCACCGUAAACGGUGGGCACUAGUUGUGGGAACCUUCCACGGUUUCCGCGACGCAGCAAACGCAUUAAGUGCCCCGCCUGGGGAGUACGAUCGCAAGAUUAAAACUCAAAUGAAUUGACGG